AAGACCUUGCACUUUUGGAGCGGCCGAUGUUCUAUUAGCUAGUUGGUGGGGUAAUGGCCUACCAAAGCUUCGAUCAGUAGCUGGUCUGAGAGGACGGCCAGCCACACUGGGACUGAGACACGGCCCAGACUCCUACGGGAGGCAGCAGUGGGGAAUUUUGGACAAUGGGCGCAAGCCUGAUCCAGCCAUGCCGCGUGAGUGAAGAAGGCCUUCGGGUUGUAAAGCUCUUUCAGCCGGGAAGAAAAGGUUGCGACUAAUAAUCGCAAUUCAUGACGGUACCGAAAGAAGAAGCACCGGCUAACUACGUGCCAGCAGCCGCGGUAAUACGUAGGGUGCGAGCGUUAAUCGGAAUUACUGGGCGUAAAGCGUGCGCAGGUGGUUUUGUAAGUCAGAUGUGAAAGCCCCGGGCUCAACCUGGGAACU
rnacentral:rRNA from 1 species